UUAAGGAGAGUCAUAUCUUAUCUCAACUAUCUGUACAUUCAAAACUUGCAUUCAGAUCACUUAUACAAUAUUCCUAAUUAAAUAAAUUUAAGAUGAAUUUUCUUUGAAAAAUAUAAUAAUUUACAAAAUAAAAAUAAAUCAGGUAAUCUAACACACUAAAAAAUAUGUCAGGUUAUGACUCCAUAACUAACCAUCCCUUUUGAGUAGCUAUUUUUGUAGCAGUUGAUUUUUCAAACCCUUCCUAGUUGCGGUAUUACUAUUAUUUCUUCAAUUUAAUAUUUCGAUGUACAUAGAUCUCUUCUUCUUCACUGAUAUUUCUUGUAUCUACUGCUUAAAAGUUAUUGUGUAUCAAGGUCUAAUACGUUGUUUCAUUAAUGAUUGAAAACUUAUGCAUAGAGAUCUAAUCCAUUGUCCUUUUGUCUUGUAUUCAUCUCUUUUUAAAACCCAAUUUGGACCAUUCCUUUCGGAGCAAAAGUUUCGUAGAAUUUUGACCUAAUCGUAUCAAUUUGGGGUCUUGUUUUCCGAUAUCUCCCGACUAUAGUGCGCAUGCAAGGGUUGGUCAUCCUUCUGUAAUAUUCCCGAGUUCUGAAAAUCACAGCCGGCAUUCCAUUGUGAACAGUCCUUCUUGCCAUCACCGGAGUUUGGUCGCUUCUAUUAGCCGGAUUUUGGGGCUCCGCUAGAGUGGUAGCAUAUGAACUACCUACUAGGAGCUCCGCGUUAGAUGGCAGAUCAGAAUGAGCAGAUCUGGCCGUGUGCAUUGUUGGUGGCGGCGGUGAUGGACUGAUUUUGAGAUGGCGGGGGAAAAGAUGACGUAGAGGUGGAGAGAUUAGGGUUUUGUUAGUGAUGGAAAGAUUAGGGUUUUUUGGUGGUGGUGGUGUCUCAGAUUUGGGUUUUUGGUGGUGCUGGUGUCUCAGAUUUGGGUUUUUGGUGGUGGUGGUGUCUCAGAUUAGGAUUUUGGUGGUGUUGGAGAGAUUAGGAUUUUUUGGUGGUAGUAGUGUCUCAGAUCUGGCCAUGUGUAUUUGUUAAAAGCCAAAUACAAAUACAUUCAAAAAUCUACAUCUCACAAAUACAUUGUUUUUAAUGUAUUUGUCUUUGUAUUUUUUAAUGCAUUUUUUAGUGUAUUUUGUUAAUAGCCAAACACGUUAUGUUUUUGAA